CCUACGGGAGGCUGCAGUGGGGAAUUUUGCACAAUGGACGCAAGUCUGAUGCAGCAACGCUGCGUGAAGGAUGAAGGUUUUCGGAUCGUAAACUUCUUUUAUCGGGGAAUAAUCUUGAAGGUACCCGAUGAAUAAGCACCGGCCAACUACGUGCCAGCAGCCGCGGUAAUACGUAGGGUGCAAACGUUAUCCGGAUUUAUUGGGCGUAAAGAGCUCGUAGGUGGCGUGAAAAGUCAGAUGUGAAAGACCCAGGCUCAACCUGGGGAACGCAUUUGAAACUCUCAUGCUAGAGGUAUGCAGGGGAAGAUGGAACACACGGUGUAGCAGUGAAAUGCGUAGAUAUCGUGUGGAACGCCAAUGGUGAAGACAGUCUUCUGGGCAUUACCUGACACUGAGGAGCGAAAGCGUGGGGAGCGAACGGGCUUAGAUACCCCAGUAGUC
rnacentral:rRNA from 1 species